GUACUUAACUGGCAGGGAGGAUACCAUGAUCACAAAGGUGGUUCUCCCUGGGCGAGGCUUAUCCAUUGCACUCUGGAUGUGCUGACCCUAUGAUUUCCCCAAAUGUGGGAAACUCAGCUGCAUAACUUGUGGUAGUUGAGGAGUGUGUUCAUGCUCUCCCCUGAA
ensembl:snRNA U1 U1 spliceosomal RNA